rnacentral:tRNA from 1 species
GUGUGGGUGUCAGAGAUAUAUGAGUUAGGGUUAGGUCCUAUUUACGGUAAUACCCCCACACU